GAUGAACGCUGGCGGCGUGUCUAAGGCAUGCAAGUCGAACGCGCACCUUCGGGUGCGAGUGGCAGACGGGAGAGUAACACAUUGGUAACCUACCCCGAAGUUUGGGACAACUGACCGAAAGGUGAGCUAAUCCCGAAUGUGGUGGUCAGGCUUCGGCCUGAUCAGUAAAGGUUUUCGCUUCGGGAGGGGCCUAUGGUCCAUCAGCUUGUUGGUGUGGUAAAAGCGCACCAAGGCGACGACGGAUAGCGGGUGUGAGAGCAUGGCCCGCCUCACUGGGACUGAGACACUGCCCAGACUCCUACGGGAGGCUGCAGUCGAGAAUCUUCCCCAAUGGCCGAAAGGCUGAGGGAGCGACGCCGCGUGUAGGAAGAAGCCCUUCGGGGUGUAAACUACUUUUCUCAGGGAAAAACUCUGAUGGUACCUGAGGAAUAAGGGGCUGCUAACUUCGUG
rnacentral:rRNA from 1 species